UUUUGAAGUUUCAUCGCUAAUAAAUUAUAAAUGAAAGGGGGAGCAAUUCAAAGAGUCAAAUUGGCAAUAUUUAAAUAAUAUAGGGGGAGAUUUCACUCUUAUAUAUGAAAAGCUGAAAUUCAGCAAUUUAAACCCGUUUAUAAACUAUUUUUAAAAGACAAGUAUCAAUAGGCUUAUACUCUUUAUUUUGUAAUCAUCAAAAAGGAGGAGAUUGAGGAUGAUAGUGUUAUUUUGAUGAUUAACAAGCAAUUAUCUAGAGUAUAUUAUAAGUUAAAUUGAUACUUCAUUUAUAAGUUCAUUACUCUCAGUAUAUUUGUAUGAAUUGAUAUAGAUACAUGUCUUUGUUCAUUUGAAUGAAUCUAACCUUGAGAUGCAGCAAAGUGUAGAUUGAGUCGAUCCCGGCACAUCAAGAAGUCAUUUGGCACACUUCUGCAAAAUUGGCACAGAUGAACAGUGAGUUGGGUCGACCCAAGGUAAGCAUGAGUCGACCCAAACUUCAAGAACCUCAAAACAUGAAAGAAAUAUGUUCUCUGGAUUUACUGAGAGGGUCGACCCAAACAGUGGUUGAGUCGACCCAAGCUUGAGUCGACCCAAACCCUGAGAGGGUCGACCCAAAGGCAAGACUGAAAGGCAGACAGAAAAUGGUUCUCUGGAAUUACUAAGAGGGUCGACCCAAGAAGAAGUUGAGUCGACCCAAGUGAACUUUGAGUCGACCCAAAGAAUGGUUGGGUCGACCCAUGGAAAGGAAGGCUGNN
rnacentral:lncRNA from 1 species